UACAGAGGGGGGCAAGCGUUGUUCGGAAUUACUGGGCGUAAAGGGCGCGUAGGCGGCCUGCUAAGUCGAACGUGAAAUCCCCGAGCUCAACUCGGGAACUGCGUCCGAUACUGACAGGCUUGAAUCCGGGAGAGGGAUGCGAAAUUCCGAGGUGUAGCGGUGAAAUGCGUAGAUAUCUGGAGGAACACCGGUGGCGAAGGCGGCAUCCUGGACCGGCAUUGACGCUGAGGCGCGAAAGCUAGGGGAGCAAACGGGG
rnacentral:rRNA from 1 species